GAUGAACGCUGGCGGCGUGCCUAAUACAUGCAAGUCGAGCGAACAGACGAGGAGCUUGCUCCUCUGACGUUAGCGGCGGACGGGUGAGUAACACGGGGAUAACCUACCUAUAAGACUGGGAUAACUUCGGGAAACCGGAGCUAAUACCGGAUAAUAUAUUGAACCGCAUGGUUCAAUAGUGAAAGACGGUUUUGCUGUCACUUAUAGAUGGAUCCGCGCCGCAUUAGCUAGUUGGUAAGGUAACGGCUUACCAAGGCAACGAUGCGUAGCCGACCUGAGAGGGUGAUCGGCCACACUGGAACUGAGACACGGUCCAGACUCCUACGGGAGGCAGCAGUAGGGAAUCUUCCGCAAUGGGCGAAAGCUUGACGGAGCAACGCCGCGUGAGUGAUGAAGGUCUUCGGAUCGUAAAACUCUGUUAUUAGGGAAGAACAAAUGUGUAAGUAACUAUGCACGUCUUGACGGUACCUAAUCAGAAAGCCACGGCUAACUACGUG
rnacentral:rRNA from 1 species